rnacentral:rRNA from 1 species
UACGUAGGGAGCAAGCGUUGUCCGGAUUCACUGGGUGUAAAGGGUGCGCAGGCGGAUUUGUAAGUCAGAGGUGAAAUCUCACGGCUUAACCGUGAAACUGCCUUUGAUACUGCAGAUCUUGAGUUUGGGAGAGGUUGAUGGAAUCCCAGGUGUAGCGGUGAAAUGCGUAGAUAUCUGGAAGAACACCAGUGGCGAAGGCGGUCAACUGGCCCAUAACUGACGCUCAGGCACGAAAGCGUGGGGAGCAAACAGG